UACGUAGGGCGCAAGCGUUAUCCGGAAUUAUUGGGCGUAAAGGGUGCGUAGGCGGUUUGGUAAGUCUUGUGUGAAAUCUUCGGGCUCAACUCGAAGUCUGCAUGAGAAACUGCCGGGCUUGAGUGUGGGAGAGGUGAGUGGAAUUCCGGUGUAGCGGUGAAAUGCGUAGAUAUCGGGAGGAACACCUGUGGCGAAAGCGGCUCACUGGACCACAACUGACGCUGAGGCACGAAAGCUAGG
rnacentral:rRNA from 1 species